ACCCACGUGGUGUAGUGGUUUGAGCAUUGGACUAGGACUCUGGAGACCAGGGUUCAAAUCUCAGUUUGGCCA
rnacentral:tRNA from 1 species